UACAGAGGGUGCAAGCGUUAAUCGGAAUUACUGGGCGUAAAGCGUGCGCAGACGGUUUCGUAAGACUGUCGUGAAAUCCCCGGGCUCAACCUGGGAAUGGCGAUGGUGACUGCAAGGCUAGAGUUUGGCAGAGGGGGGUAGAAUUCCACGUGUAGCAGUGAAAUGCGUAGAUAUGUGGAGGAACACCGAUGGCGAAGGCAGCCCCCUGGGUCAAGAUUGACGCUCAUGCACGAAAGCGUGGGGAGCAAACAGG
rnacentral:rRNA from 1 species